rnacentral:rRNA from 1 species
UCCGUAGAGCUGGCAGUGCUCAGUCCCAGUGUGGCUGACCAUCCUCUCAGACCAGCUACCCGUAAGCCUUGGUGGGCCGUUACCCCUCCAACAAGCUGAUGGGACGCGGGCUCCUCUCCAAGCGACAGGUCUCGAAGGAUCCCCACCUUUA